GUAUUGAUAGUGUAGGGGUAUCAUGAGUCGUUGCCACUCAUCGCCUAUUGAAGGUGAUAAACCGAUUCGACUCGACCGGGGUUCGAGUCCCCGUCAAUGCA